GCUUCCAGGCCAAAUUGUGGCGUUUAUCGCCGCGUUUCCGAAAGGAAUAGGCUUGGGAGUUUUU
rnacentral:ncRNA from 12 species